rnacentral:rRNA from 2 species
AAACUUCUUUAUCACCGAGUGCUUGCACUCACCGAUAAAGAGUUGAGUGGCGAACGGGUGAGUAACACGUGGGCAACCUGCCCAAAAGAGGGGGAUAACACUUGGAAACAGGUGCUAAUACCGCAUAACCAUAGUUACCGCAUGGUAACUAUGUAAAAGGUGGCUAUGCUACCGCUUUUGGAUGGGCCCGCGGCGCAUUAGCUAGUUGGUGAGGUAAAGGCUUACCAAGGCAAUGAUGCGUAGCCGAACUGAGAGGUUGAUCGGCCACAUUGGGACUGAGACACGGCCCAAACUCCUACGGGAGGCAGCAGUAGGGAAUCUUCCACAAUGGGCGAAAGCCUGAUGGAGCAACGCCGCGUGGGUGAAGAAGGUCUUCGGAUCGUAAAACCCUGUUG